GAGAAAUUUUGCCCAAUUAUUAUUUAUGUGCCCAAAUCCUGGUCUCUUUUUACUAAAUGAAUACUGAGUGCUCUCAGCUGUUCAUCGCCUCCGCCGUCACGGGUCUUCUUGUGGGUGCUGCCACCGCUGCGUCACUUUGCUGUGGGUCAGCACGUCUGUGAACAACAGUGUAUUUGCUAUACGUCAUAGGGUUCGUUUCGUCACACGUGUAGUAGAUCUGGACAGCGCCACUUUGAAAAAAAGCCGAAUAUCUUGGGCUAGGGUGGAAAGGUCUCUGGAGAUUUGAAUAGGGUGAGAUUGAUGAUAUGGAAGAAGAAAAGGAGAGAAGAAAGAGCUCAUUGGGAUCAGAAAAGAAGAAAAGGAGGAAGAGUUUGUUUGAAUGGAGUAAAGGGGAAGAGCUAAAUCUACUGAAGAAGCUUGUCGAGUUCAAUAGCAAGAACAUUAGUCGCGAGGAAUUUUAUCCGUUCUUGAGAAAUGGGUCAUUGGCGGAGGUGUCCAAGAUCCAAAUAUUUGACAAGAUUCAACAACUCAAAAGCGAAUAUUUGGAGAAUAAAUUAGAGUUGAGAAAAAUGAGAAAACGAAAUGUAAAAUUGGAGGAUGAUGAUGAUUAUAAUGAUAAGAGAGACGAGGGCUUUGAGUUAUCAAAUCAACUUUGGGGUGAAGUUGAUGAAACUGAAAGGGCUUCUAACUCUAAAGCGUUGGAGGUAUGCAGUAGGAAUUACUACGAAGGGUUUUUUGAAAGUUGUGGGCUUGAUGUACAACUAUUUGACCCAUCUUUUCACGAUGCAACCAAGAAGGAUAUUGACCAUUUGUUCAAUCUUGAACAUCAUGUAAUCUUAUCCAAAGCUAAGUUGACGGCUCAAAUUCUUCAACUAAAGUACGACCUUAUUCAAGCUCGUGUCAACAAUCCUACCAAUUAAUAAUCGCCCUUGUCCACCUCUCUCUCUUUUUUUUUCUGGCUCAUAUGUAUCAAACAUUUCCAAAAUCUAUUUAUAGAAUAUGAAAGAGACUAGGAAAGUCUUUUAUGAUUUA